CAGCAGCCGCGGUAAUACCGGCGGCCCGAGUGGCGGCCACUAUUAUUGGGCUUAAAGCGUCCGUAGCCGGGUUGGUUAGUCUCCCGGGAAAUCUGGCCGCUUAACGGUCAGAAUUCCGGGAGAUACUGCCAGCCUAGGGACCGGGAGAGGCCGAGGGUAUUCCCGGAGUAGGGGUGAAAUCCUAUAAUCCCGGGAGGACCACCUGUGGCGAAGGCGCUCGGCUGGAACGGGUCCGACGGUGAGGGACGAAGGCCAGGGGAGCAAACCGGAUUAGAUACCCGGGUAGUCCUGGCUGUAAACGAUGCGGGCUAGAUGUUGGGCGGGCCUCGAGCCCGCCCAGUGUCGUAGGGAAGCCGUUAAGCCCGCCGCCUGGGGAGUACGGCCGCAAGGCUGAAACUUAAAGGAAUUGGCGGG
rnacentral:rRNA from 1 species